rnacentral:rRNA from 1 species
ACGAACGCUGGCGGCGUGCCUAAUACAUGCAAGUUGAGCGCUGAAGGUUGGUACUUGUACCAACUGGAUGAGCAGCGAACGGGUGAGUAACGCGUGGGGAAUCUGCCUUUGAGCGGGGGACAACAUUUGGAAACGAAUGCUAAUACCGCAUAAAAACUUUAAACACAAGUUUUAAGUUUGAAAGAUGCAAUUGCAUCACUCAAAGAUGAUCCCGCGUUGUAUUAGCUAGUUGGUGAGGUAAAGGCUCACCAAGGCGAUGAUACAUAGCCGACCUGAGAGGGUGAACGGCCAAAUUGGGAAUGAGACAACGGCCAAAACCCUACGGGAGGCAGCAGUAGGGAAUCUUCGGCAAUGGACGAAAGUCUGACCGAGGAACGCCGCGUGAGUGAAGAAGGUUUUCGGAUCGGAAAACUCUGUUUGUAGAGAAGAACGUGGGUGAGAGUGGAAAGCUCAUCAAGUGACGGUAACUACACAGAAAGGGACGGCUAACUACGUG